rnacentral:rRNA from 1 species
CACUCCUGCGGGAGGCAGCAGUGGGGAAUUUUGGACAAUGGGCGCAAGCCUGAUCCAGCCAUGCCGCGUGCGGGAAGAAGGCCUUCGGGUUGUAAACCGCUUUUGUCAGGGAAGAAAAGGUUCUGGCUAAUACCUGGGACUCAUGACGGUACCUGAAGAAUAAGCACCGGCUAACUACGUGCCAGCAGCCGCGGUAAUACGUAGGGUGCAAGCGUUAAUCGGAAUUACUGGGCGUAAAGCGUGCGCAGGCGGUUAUGCAAGACAGAGGUGAAAUCCCCGGGCUCAACCUGGGAACUGCCUUUGUGACUGCAUGGCUAGAGUACGGUAGAGGGGGAUGGAAUUCCGCGUGUAGCAGUGAAAUGCGUAGAUAUGCGGAGGAACACCGAUGGCGAAGGCAAUCCCCUGGACCUGUACUGACGCUCAUGCACGAAAGCGUGGGGAGCAAACAGGAUUAGAAACCCGAGUAGUCCC